UGGGGAAUAUUGGACAAUGGGCGCAAGCCUGAUCCAGCAAUGCCGCGUGGGUGAAGAAGGUCUUCGGAUUGUAAAUCCCUUUCGGCGGGGACGAUGAUGACGGUACCCGCAGAAGAAGCCCCGGCUAACUUCGUGCCCGCAGCCGCGGUAAUACGAAGGGGGCUAGCGCUGCUCGGAAUGACUGGGCGUAAAGGGCGCGUAGGCGGUUCGUACAGUUGGAUGUGAAAUUCCUAGGCUUAACCUGGGGGCUGCAUUCAAUACGUGCGGGCUAGAAUGUGGAAGAGGGUUGUGGAAUUCCCAGUGUAGAGGUGAAAUUCGUAGAUAUUGGGAAGAACGCCGGUGGCGAAGGCGGCAACCUGGUCCAUAAUUGACGCUGAGGCGCGAAAGCGUGGGGAGCAAAC
rnacentral:rRNA from 1 species